rnacentral:rRNA from 1 species
ACUAAGCGUACACGGUGGAUGCCCUGGCAGUCAGAGGCGAUGAAGGACGUGCUAAUCUGCGAUAAGCGUCGGUAAGGUGAUAUGAACCGUUAUAACCGGCGAUUUCCGAAUGGGGAAACCCAGUGUGAUUCGUCACACUAUCAUUAACUGAAUCCAUAGGUUAAUGAGGCGAACCGGGGGAACUGAAACAUCUAAGUACCCCGAGGAAAAGAAAUCAACCGAGAUUCCCCCAGUAGCGGCGAGCGAACGGGGAGCAGCCCAGAGCCUGAAUCAGUGUGUGUGUUAGUGGAAGCGUCUGGAAAGGCGCGCGAUACAGGGUGACAGCCCCGUACACAAAAAUGCACAUGCUGUGAGCUCGAUGAGUAGGGCGGGACACGUGGUAUCCUGUCUGAAUAUGGGGGGACCAUCCUCCAAGGCUAAAUACUCCUGACUGACCGAUAGUGAACCAGUACCGUGAGGGAAAGGCGAAAAGAACCCCGGCGAGGGGAGUGAAAAAGAACCUGAAACCGUGUACGUACAAGCAGUGGGAGCACGCUUAGGCGUGUGACUGCGUACCUUUUGUAUAAUGGGUCAGCGACUUAUAUUCUGUAGCAAGGUUAACCGAAUAGGGGAGCCGAAGGGAAACCGAGUCUUAACUGGGCGUUAAGUUGCAGGGUAUAGACCCGAAACCCGGUGAUCUAGCCAUGGGCAGGUUGAAGGUUGGGUAACACUAACUGGAGGACCGAACCGACUAAUGUUGAAAAAUUAGCGGAUGACUUGUGGCUGGGGGUGAAAGGCCAAUCAAACCGGGAGAUAGCUGGUUCUCCCCGAAAGCUAUUUAGGUAGCGCCUCGUGAAUUCAUCUCCGGGGGUAGAGCACUGUUUCGGCAAGGGGGUCAUCCCGACUUACCAACCCGAUGCAAACUGCGAAUACCGGAGAAUGUUAUCACGGGAGACACACGGCGGGUGCUAACGUCCGUCGUGAAGAGGGAAACAACCCAGACCGCCAGCUAAGGUCCCAAAGUCAUGGUUAAGUGGGAAACGAUGUGGGAAGGCCCAGACAGCCAGGAUGUUGGCUUAGAAGCAGCCAUCAUUUAAAGAAAGCGUAAUAGCUCACUGGUCGAGUCGGCCUGCGCGGAAGAUGUAACGGGGCUAAACCAUGCACCGAAGCUGCGGCAGCGACGCUGAUGCGUUGUUGGGUAGGGGAGCGUUCUGUAAGCCUGCGAAGGUGUGCUGUGAGGCAUGCUGGAGGUAUCAGAAGUGCGAAUGCUGACAUAAGUAACGAUAAAGCGGGUGAAAAGCCCGCUCGCCGGAAGACCAAGGGUUCCUGUCCAACGUUAAUCGGGGCAGGGUGAGUCGACCCCUAAGGCGAGGCCGAAAGGCGUAGUCGAUGGGAAACAGGUUAAUAUUCCUGUACUUGGUGUUACUGCGAAGGGGGGACGGAGAAGGCUAUGUUGGCCGGGCGACGGUUGUCCCGGUUUAAGCGUGUAGGCUGGUUUUCCAGGCAAAUCCGGAAAAUCAAGGCUGAGGCGUGAUGACGAGGCACUACGGUGCUGAAGCAACAAAUGCCCUGCUUCCAGGAAAAGCCUCUAAGCAUCAGGUAACAUCAAAUCGUACCCCAAACCGACACAGGUGGUCAGGUAGAGAAUACCAAGGCGCUUGAGAGAACUCGGGUGAAGGAACUAGGCAAAAUGGUGCCGUAACUUCGGGAGAAGGCACGCUGAUAUGUAGGUGAAGCGACUUGCUCGUGGAGCUGAAAUCAGUCGAAGAUACCAGCUGGCUGCAACUGUUUAUUAAAAACACAGCACUGUGCAAACACGAAAGUGGACGUAUACGGUGUGACGCCUGCCCGGUGCCGGAAGGUUAAUUGAUGGGGUUAGCGCAAGCGAAGCUCUUGAUCGAAGCCCCGGUAAACGGCGGCCGUAACUAUAACGGUCCUAAGGUAGCGAAAUUCCUUGUCGGGUAAGUUCCGACCUGCACGAAUGGCGUAAUGAUGGCCAGGCUGUCUCCACCCGAGACUCAGUGAAAUUGAACUCGCUGUGAAGAUGCAGUGUACCCGCGGCAAGACGGAAAGACCCCGUGAACCUUUACUAUAGCUUGACACUGAACAUUGAGCCUUGAUGUGUAGGAUAGGUGGGAGGCUUUGAAGUGUGGACGCCAGUCUGCAUGGAGCCGACCUUGAAAUACCACCCUUUAAUGUUUGAUGUUCUAACGUUGACCCGUGAUCCGGGUUGCGGACAGUGUCUGGUGGGUAGUUUGACUGGGGCGGUCUCCUCCUAAAGAGUAACGGAGGAGCACGAAGGUUGGCUAAUCCUGGUCGGACAUCAGGAGGUUAGUGCAAUGGCAUAAGCCAGCUUGACUGCGAGCGUGACGGCGCGAGCAGGUGCGAAAGCAGGUCAUAGUGAUCCGGUGGUUCUGAAUGGAAGGGCCAUCGCUCAACGGAUAAAAGGUACUCCGGGGAUAACAGGCUGAUACCGCCCAAGAGUUCAUAUCGACGGCGGUGUUUGGCACCUCGAUGUCGGCUCAUCACAUCCUGGGGCUGAAGUAGGUCCCAAGGGUAUGGCUGUUCGCCAUUUAAAGUGGUACGCGAGCUGGGUUUAGAACGUCGUGAGACAGUUCGGUCCCUAUCUGCCGUGGGCGCUGGAGAACUGAGGGGGGCUGCUCCUAGUACGAGAGGACCGGAGUGGACGCAUCACUGGUGUUCGGGUUGUCAUGCCAAUGGCACUGCCCGGUAGCUAAAUGCGGAAGAGAUAAGUGCUGAAAGCAUCUAAGCACGAAACUUGCCCCGAGAUGAGUUCUCCCUGACUCCUUGAGAGUCCUGAAGGAACGUUGAAGACGACGACGUUGAUAGGCCGGGUGUGUAAGCGCAGCGAUGCGUUGAGCUAACCGGUACUAAUGAACCGUGAGGCUUAACC